rnacentral:tRNA from 1 species
AAAGGGAGACCUAAUUCCGGUAGGAGACGAAAAAAAAGUAGUCCCUACCAAGAAUCAAUCCCAAAAGGUCGGAACGAGGUAUGAGGCUUUCAAACUAGGUUCUGGGUUCAUAAAAGACCUGAAUCAGGAACAAGGGCUAUUAGCUCAGGUGGUUAGAGCGCACCCCUGAUAAGGGUGAGGUCCCUGGUUCGAGUCCAGGAUGGCCCACCUGCACAGGUGGCAAAAACAAGAGAAACGAGGAAUCAGCACCUUAUCUUACUUACAUAGUAAGAGAGAAUGCUGGCUCUGAGUAAAGAGUCCAGAGGAACCUUGAAAACUGCAUAGAGCUAGGUGAAAAAGCCAAAAAAGAAGACCGCAAG